AUUGAACGCUGGCGGCAGGCCUAACACAUGCAAGUCGAACGAGUGGCGGACGGGUGAGUAAUGUCUGGGAAACUGCCCGAUGGAGGGGGAUAACUACUGGAAACGGUAGCUAAUACCGCAUACCAUCGGAUGUGCCCAGAUGGGAUUAGCUAGUAGGUGGGGUAACGGCUCACCUAGGCGACGAUCCCUAGCUGGUCUGAGAGGAUGACCGGCCACAUUGGAACUGAGACACGGUCCAGACUCCUACGGGAGGCAGCAGUGGGGAAUAUUGCACAAUGGGCGAAAGCCGGAGCCAGCCAUGCCGCGUGUAUGAAGAAGGCCUUCGGAUUGUAAAGUACUUUCGGCAGGGAAGCGUUACUCGAAGAGAAAGCACCGGCUAACUCCGUGCCAGCCGCCGCGGUAAUAC
rnacentral:rRNA from 1 species